rnacentral:tRNA from 1 species
UCCCGGGUGGCUCAGUGGUAAAGAAUCUGCCUGCAAAGCAGGAGACACAGGUUUGAUCCCUGGGUCAGGAA